rnacentral:rRNA from 1 species
UUGAUCCUGGCUCAGGAUGAACGCUGGCGGUCUGCUUAACACAUGCAAGUCGAACGGGCUCUUCGGAGCUAGUGGCGGACGGGUGAGUAACGCGUGAGAAUCUGCCUUCAGGAGGGGGAUAACGACUGGAAACGGUCGCUAAUACCCCAUAUGCCUACGGGUGAAAUGUUUUUCGCCUGAAGAUGAGCUCGCGUCCGAUUAGCUAGUUGGUGAGGUAAGAGCUUACCAAGGCAACGAUCGGUAGCUGGUCUGAGAGGAUGAUCAGCCACACUGGGACUGAGACACGGCCCAGACUCCUACGGGAGGCAGCAGUGGGGAAUUUUCCGCAAUGGGCGCAAGCCUGACGGAGCAAGACCGCGUGCGGGAUGACGGCCUAAUGGUUGUAAACCGCUUUUCUCUGGGAAGAAGAUGACGGUACCAGAGGAAUAAGCCUCGGCUAACUCCGCGCCAGCAGCCGCGGUAAUACGGAGGAGGCAAGCGUUAUCCGGAAUUAUUGGGCGUAAAGCGUCCGUAGGUGGUUCAUCAAGUCAGCUGUUAAAGAGCGGAGCUCAACUCCGUCGGAGCGGUUGAAACUGGUGAACUAGAGUUUGGUAGGGGUCGAGGGAAUUCCCAGUGUAGCGGUGAAAUGCGUAGAUAUUGGGAAGAACACCGGUGGCGAAAGCGCUCGGCUGGGCCAAAACUGACACUGAGGGACGAAAGCUAGGGGAGCGAAAGGGAUUAGAUGCCCCUGUAGUCCUAGCCGUAAACGAUGGGUACUAGGUGUAGCUCGCGAUCGACCCGAGCAGUGCCGUAGCUAACGCGUUAAGUAUCCCGCCUGGGGAGUACGCUC